UAAAGAGCGACAAAGGUGGCUCCUAUGCUCACCACGUGGCAGACAUAUAAAUAAAGAUUUGGAUCCAACUCCUAUAUUCUUUUUAACAUAUGCCAAUCACACUCUUUACUUCUUUCUUCUUUUCUUUUUUUUUUUUUUACUUUUUGACCACAAAAUGUUAACUAGUAUAUAUGUAAGACUGUAAGUUUCAAUAAAAAUAUAAAACCUUUUCCUCAAAAUAUUAAAAAAAAAAAACUCGGUUAUUACGCAGGUUAACGUAGUUUUAAACUCUAUUGCAUUAAAAAAAAAUUAAUAGCUCAUAAUAUUUUUUUUUUUUUUUUUUUUUUAACUUAUGGUAAAUCUCCAGACCUAUGGAAGGAUCCAAAACUAAUCCCUGGGGAGAUGGUAUCCCACGGGUAGAGUCUACCCAGGUUUUCAAAUGGGCCUUAAGCAAGAGGCAUAUACCCAUGUGGCUAAAGGGAUAAAUCUAGCAAUUCUGCGUCUGAGGAGAAUCGAUCCCUGGCCUAGACCAACAUGACGACUCUUCCACCGGAUUAGAACCAGUAGUCCACCACCUCCAAUAAAAAUAUAAAACCCUUUCCUCAAAGUGAUUAAAAAAAAAAACUCGGUUAUUACGCAGGUUAACAUUAGUUUUAAACUCUAUUGCAUUAAAAAAAA
rnacentral:lncRNA from 1 species